CUUUAAGUUGCACAGAGGCACUUUGUCCUGAGACAGGCUUAUUGAGACAUCAUAUUCUUUUCUUUGUCAAGCCUGAUGGGCUUAUUUCACACACAAAAUGAAAUCUCAAAGUUGUCAUUGUAGAAAGUCUGAAGAGUGGGUGGGGAACGGAAUGACUUUCUCAAAGAUGUCAGGAAGGUGCUUAGCCUGAGGUAGAAGGUGGUGUCUUGUAGUGGGGAGGUGUGGGCCAACCAGCCACAGCCAGACAGCUGUCACAAACUGCGCCACCUUAAGCAAGUGGCUUAACAUUUCUGUGCCUCAGUUUCCUUACCUGCGAAAUGGAAUAAUAACAGUAUCUGCCUCGUAGGAUUGUUAUGACAUAGACUAAAUAAGUGAAGGCACAUACAGUGCGUAAAUGCAAAAGCAGCUGUGCGUGUCAGGCACUGUCCUGCGCUCCCUACCAUCACUGCCGGCAGCAGCAGCAGCUGAGCCGUAAUGGGCACGAGCAGCAUGGCCAUCGCAUGAUGCAUCGGUUGGGAGCAUUCGGCUGCUGGUAAUAAACACCAGGAGUAGCUGUGGAUUAAUCUCGGCAUGGAUUCUCCUGGACCGCAGGAUAUCCUACCUGCCCUGCACUGGCAAUGUUCAUCUUGAUCACCUGGCCAAGAUAUUGUCGGAUUUCUUCACUGUGUAAUUAUUAUUUGAUACGGGUUGGAUCUGUGUCCCCACCCAAGUCUCAUGUUCAGCUGUAGUCCCCAGUGUUGGAGAGCACGGGCUCCCCAAAGGCCAGGAACGAGUCUGGUUUCUGGAACAGCACUGUCUCCUCAGCACCUAGACCUGGGCACAUAGCAGACAACCAAGGAAUGCCCAUCAACGAGAGGAGGCCUCACCUCAUGGCGGCCAUGUGGGGCAGGAAUGACUGUAAUCCCCCCUAACCAAUGGAACAGCUAAGACUCAGAGAGGCCUCCGUCGUUGCUCUGGGACCUCGUUGCUGACCCUGGAUGACAGACCACUGCCUAGGAUGAAAUUCCCCUCUGGAUGGAUGGCUUCUGGUUUGGUGAUGGAAUGGAUUCCAGGGCCUCUGAGGAAGGCAGGAAGCCUUGGGACUUGGCAAUCUCCACAGGAGAUGGGGUGUGUGCUAGAUGACCCCUGAACAGCACCAGUUUGAACUGGGGGGUCCACUUAUAUGUGGAGUUUCUCUCUCUGCCACCUCUGGGACAGCAAGACCAAUGCCUCCUCCCCCUCCUCCUCCUGAGCCUACUCACUGUGAGUAGGAUGAAGACCUUUAGGAUGAUCCAUUUCCACUUAAUCAAUAGCAGAUAUAUUUUCUCUUCCUUAUGAGUCUUUUAACAACAUUUUCUUUUCUCUAGCUUAUUUUAUUGUAAGAAUACGGUGUUGAAUGCAUAUAACGUGCAAAUACAUGUUAAUCAACUGUUUAUGUUACGGGUAUGGCUUCUGGCCAACAGUAAGCUAUUAAUAGUUAAGUUUUGGGGAAGUCAAAAGUUAUAUGCAAUUUUUUGACUGCACAGGGAGUCAGCACCCCUCACUCCUCAUUGUUCAGGGUCAACUGUACUUGGUUUCCAAGCCUCCCUUAUAAGUCGGUAUGGCCAUGGGACCCAGUUUUAGAUGUGAGAAGAGAAGAAGGGUUGCAUCUGGGAAGGAUUUCUUUCUGGAUGAAAGAUAGUCUUUUGAGGAGCGGCUCCUUGGUCCCUGCCCUGUCCCUCCUGCUGGAGAUGCUGCAUGCAAGGGCCUGAUGUCUGGAAUUGAAGCAUCCAUGUGGUGACCAUGAGACAAGAAGCAUGACAAUAAAAUUUCACUGGGUGGAAGAAUGAGGAAGUCUGGAUUCUUGAUGAUACUGUUGCCGUCUGAACAUGCCCUGUGACCCUGUACUUCUGGGCAUCUGGUUACAUGAGCAAUAAAUAUUCUUACGGCUAAAACCA
rnacentral:lncRNA from 1 species